GGAAACUGCGAACGGCUCAUUAAAUCAGUUGCGAUCUACUCGGCGUUCCGCGCCGCCGGAUAACCGUAGUAAUUCUAGGGCUAAUACGUGCGAAGCGCCCGAAGCCGCGAGGCGACGGGCGUUCUCGCCGGAUGUAGGAACCGACCCGGGGACCGCCGGGGCAAACCCCGGCGCCCCCGAGACGGGGCGAACCACGGUGAAAUGACGGAUCGUCGGCCCCGCGCCGGCGACUCGCCGAAUGAGUUUCUGACCUAUCAACUCGAGACGGCGGGGUAGAGGCCCGCCGCGGUAACGACGGGUAACGGGGAAUCAGGGUUCGAUUCCGGAGAGGGAGCCCGAGAAACGGCUACCACUUCCAAGGAAGGCAGCAGGCGCGCAACUUACCCUAAUCUCGAUUCGAGGAGGUAGUG
rnacentral:rRNA from 1 species